UCACGUAUACACAUCGUGUUCUUCGUAGAAAUCUUCUCCGUACAUGAUUACUUGCUCACUGGAGUCGACUGUUUGUCAAACGCCACACUCUGUUUAAGUUUCACUAAAUUUAUCAUGUACCUAUUGUAUACAAAUGUGAUUUGAAUAAUUAUAAAACUGUCCAUUUUCAUCAUUGCGUUCAUACGAUUGUGACACGUGCAAAACAACUUUUCAACGUAAGUGAAAUAUGGAGCAACAAGGUAACAAUCAUUCUUCUGGUAAAAAACCUUAUAGGUGUCAGAAAUGUGGUAACCGUUUUUCGACAAAAAAAAAAUUAACUGCUCAUAAAAAAGUUCAUUCAUCGUUGCGCCCGUAUAAAUGUGAUAUAUGCGAUAAAACGUUUAAAACUAAA